GACGAACGCUGGCGGCGUGCCUAAUACAUGCAAGUUGAGCGCUGAAGGUUUGUACUUGUACCAACUGGAUGAGCAGCGAACGGGUGAGUAACGCGUGGGUAAUCUGCCUUUGAGCGGGGGACAACAUUUGGAAACGAAUGCUAAUACCGCAUAAAAACUUUAAACACAAGUUUUAAGUUUGAAAUAUGCAAUUGCAUCACUCAAAGAUGAUCCCGCGUUUUAUUAGGUAGUUGGUGAGGUAAAGGCUCACCAAGGCGAUGAUACAUAGCCGACCUGAGAGGGUGGACGGCCAAAUUGGGAAGGAGACAAGGGACAAAAGGCUAAGGGAGGCAGCAGGAGGGAAACUUCGGAAAUGGACGAAAGUCUGACCGAGAAAAGCCGAGGGAGGGAAGAAGGAUUUCGGAUCGGAAAAAUCUGUUGGUAGAGAAGAAAGUUGGUGAGAGUGGAAAGCACAUCAAGUGACGGUAACUACACAGAAAGGGACGGCUAACUACGUG
rnacentral:rRNA from 1 species